UGGGGAAUAUUGGACAAUGGGCGAAAGCCUGAUCCAGCCAUGCCGCGUGUGUGAAGAAGGUCUUCGGAUUGUAAAGCACUUUACGUUGGGAGGAAGGGCAUUAACCUAAUACGUUAGUGUUUUGACGUUACCGACAGAAUAAGCACCGGCUAACUCUGUGCCAGCAGCCGCGGUAAUACAGAGGGUGCAAGCGUUAAUCGGAAUUACUGGGCGUAAAGCGCGCGUAGGUGGUUUGUUAAGUUGGAUGUGAAAUCCCCGGGCUCAACCUGGGAACUGCAUUCAAAACUGACUGACUAGAGUAUGGUAGAGGGUGGUGGAAUUUCCUGUGUAGCGGUGAAAUGCGUAGAUAUAGGAAGGAACACCAGUGGCGAAGGCGACCACCUGGACUAAUACUGACACUGAGGUGCGAAAGCGUGGGGAGCAAACA
rnacentral:rRNA from 1 species